rnacentral:rRNA from 1 species
GCGGCGGACGGGUGAGUAACGCGUAGGCAACCUGCCCCAUACAGAGGGAUAGCCUCGAGAAAUCGGGAUUAAAACCUCAUAAUGCCAUCGAGUCACAUGGCUCUUUGGCCAAAGAUUUAUCGGUAUGGGAUGGGCCCGCGUCUGAUUAGCUAGUUGGUGAGGUAACGGCUCACCAAGGCGACGAUCCGUAGCUGGUCUGAGAGGAUGAUCAGCCACACUGGGACUGAGACACGGCCCAGACUCCUACGGGAGGCAGCAGUGGGGAAUUUUGGACAAUGGGCGCAAGCCUGAUCCAGCCAUGCCGCGUGAGUGAAGAAGGCCUUCGGGUUGUAAAGCUCUUUCGGCCGGGAAGAAAUCGCAUUCUCUAAUAUAGGAUGUGGAUGACGGUACCGGACUAAGAAGCACCGGCUAACUACGUGCCAGCAGCCGCGGUAAUACGUAGGGUGCGAGCGUUAAUCGGAAUUACUGGGCGUAAAGCGUGCGCAGGCGGUUUGCUAAGACAGGUGUGAAAUCCCCGGGCUUAACCUGGGAACUGCGCUUGUGACUGGCAGGCUAGAGUACGGUAGAGGGGGGUGGAAUUCCUGGUGUAGCAGUGAAAUGCGUAGAUAUCAGGAGGAACACCGAUGGCGAAGGCAGCC